rnacentral:rRNA from 1 species
UACGAAGGGGGCUAGCGUUGCUCGGAAUCACUGGGCGUAAAGGGUGCGUAGGCGGGUCUUUAAGUCAGGGGUGAAAUCCUGGAGCUCAACUCCAGAACUGCCUUUGAUACUGAAGAUCUCGAGUUCGGGAGAGGUGAGUGGAACUGCGAGUGUAGAGGUGAAAUUCGUAGAUAUUCGCAAGAACACCAGUGGCGAAGGCGGCUCACUGGCCCGAUACUGACGCUGAGGUGCGAAAGCGUGGGGAGCAAACAGG